rnacentral:rRNA from 1 species
CGUUGAGAAUGCAGUGAAAUGUGACACUGGGUGUGAAUUGCAAAAUCCUGUGAAUCAUUGAGUCUUUAAACACGAGUCACUUCCGAAACUAUUAGGCUGAGGGCACGUCUGCCUGAACGUCA